rnacentral:rRNA from 1 species
CUGGCGACGAGUGGCGGACGGGUGAGUAAUACUUAGGAAUCUGCCCAGUAGUGGGGGACAACUCGGGGAAACUCGAGCUAAUACCGCAUACGCCCUAAGGGGGAAAGCGGGGGAUCUUCGGACCUCGCGCUAUUGGAUGAGCCUAAGUCGGAUUAGCUUGUAGGUAGGGUAACGGCCUACCUAGGCAACGAUCCGUAGCUGGUCUGAGAGGACGAUCAGCCACACCGGGACUGAGACACGGCCCAG